rnacentral:rRNA from 1 species
GUCCACGCCGUAAACUAUGAGAGCUAGCCGUUGGGAGAUUUAUCUCUCAGUGGCGCAGCUAACGCAUUAAGCUCUCCGCCUGGGGAGUACGGUCGCAAGAUUAAAAACUCAAAGGAAUUGACGGGGGCCCGCACAAGCAGUGGAGCAUGUGGUUUAAUUCGAAGCAACGCGAAGAACCUUACCAGCCCUUGACAUGGCAGGACGAUUUCCGGAGACGGAUCUCUUCACUUCGGUGACCUGCACACAGGUGCUGCAUGGCUGUCGU